rnacentral:tmRNA from 2 species
GGGGCUGUAACGGUUUCGACGUUUUGGCGAACGUGUCCUUGUGAUACAGGUCGAGAGUGAGUCGCCUCUCGUAAAUCACCGGCUCAAACUGUGUACAUGCGAACAACAUCGUACCUUUUGCUCGUAAGAGCGCAGCUGUUGCUGUAGCUUAAUAAACCUCACUUAGGUUCGAGCGUCUGUAAUUCGACUCCGUUAAGGAUUGCAGACUUAACCCCAACGGAUGCGCUAGUUCACCGCCUCUGGUCGGCAGCUAGCUAAGACCUCACCAGAGCAUCCCACCGUUUGGGAUAAGAAACGGUUCCCGCUUCGAGGAUCAGAGAAGCUAAACCUGUGAGUGAGCAAGGUGCUAAUACCCAAGACGGACACGGGUUCGACUCCCGUCAGCUCCAUUG